rnacentral:rRNA from 1 species
GUGAACCUGCGGAAGGAUCAUUACCGAGUUCACGCCCUCACGGGCAGAUCUCCCACCCUUGAAUACCCUACCUUUGUUGCUUUGGCGGGCCACGCUCGCGUGUCGGCCUCGGCUGACUGCGCCCGCCAGAGGACCCAAACUCUUUUGUUUAGUGAUGUCUGAGUACUAUAUAAUAGUUAAAACUUUCAACAACGGAUCUCUUGGUUCUGGCAUCGAUGAAGAACGCAGCGAAAUGCGAUAAGUAAUGUGAAUUGCAGAAUUCAGUGAAUCAUCGAAUCUUUGAACGCACAUUGCGCCCCUUGGUAUUCCGAGGGGCAUGCCUGUUCGAGCGUCAUUAUGACCACUCAAGCCUGGCUUGGUAUUGGGGUUCGCGGUCCCGCGGCUCUUAAAAUCGGUGGCGGCGCCAUCUGGCUCUAAGCGUAGUAAUCUUUCUCGCUACAGGGUCCCGGUGGAUGCUUGCCAGCAACCCCUUAUUUUUUAGGUUGACCUCGGAUCAGGUAGGGAUACCCGCUGAACUUAAGCAUAUCAAU